UACGGAGGAUCCAAGCGUUAUCCGGAUUUAUUGGGUUUAAAGGGUGCGUAGGCGGCCUGUUAAGUCAGGGGUGAAAGACGGUAGCUCAACUAUCGCAGUGCCCUUGAUACUGAUGGGCUUGAAUGGACUAGAGGUAGGCGGAAUGAGACAAGUAGCGGUGAAAUGCAUAGAUAUGUCUCAGAACACCGAUUGCGAAGGCAGCUUACUAUGGUAUAAUUGACGCUGAGGCACGAAAGCGUGGGGAUCAAACAGG
rnacentral:rRNA from 1 species